AAGCGGAGGAAAAGAAAGCAACAGCGAUUGCCUCAGUAGCGGCGAGCGAAGCGGCAACAGCCCAGAUUUGAAAUCUGGCCUUCGGGUCCGAAUUGUAAUCUGCAGAGGAUGCUUUAGGCAAGGCAUCAACCAAGUUCCCUGGAAUGGGGCGCCUUAGAGGGUGAGAGCCCCGUAGUGUUGGUUGCCACGCCAUUGUAUAGCUCCCUCGAAGAGUCGCGUAGUUUGGGAAUGCUGCGCAAAUAGGGAGGUAUAUCUCUCCUAAGGCUAAAUACCUGUCAGAGACCGAUAGCGCACAAGUAGAGUGAUCGAAAGAUGAAAAGAACUUUGAAAAGAGGGUUAAACAGUAUGUGAAAUUGCUAAAAGGGAAGCGCUUAUGGCUAGACUUGGUGGUGGUGGAGCAAUCUGCUGCUACUGGGCCGGCACCAGUUCGCGUUGGGGGGUAAAGGCAGCGGGAACGUGGCUCCUCCGGGAGUGUUAUAGCCCGUUGUGUAAUACCCUGGUGCGGACUGAGGCUCUCGCUUCGGCAAGGGUGCCGGCAUAAUGGCCAUCAGCGGCCCGUCUUGAAACACGGACCAAGGAGUCGUCCUCGUAUGCGAGUGUUUGGGUGUUAAACCCAAGCGCGCAAUGAAAGUGAACGUUGGUGAGAGCUGCGGCGCAUCAUCGACCGAUCCUGAAGUUUACAGAUGGAUUUGAGUAAGAGCAUACGGGGCCGGACCCGAAAGAAGGUGAACUAUGCGUGUGUAGGGUGAAGCCAGAGGAAACUCUGGUGGAGGCUCGCAGCGGUUCUGACGUGCAAAUCGAUCGUCAAACAUGCGCAUGGGGGCGAAAGACUAAUCGAACCUUCUAGUAGCUGGUUUCCGCCGAA
rnacentral:rRNA from 1 species